CUACGGGGCGCUGCAGUAACGAAUAUUGUGCAAUGGGCGAAAGCCUGACACAGCGACGCCGCGUGUAGGAGGAAGUCCCUCGGGAUGUAAAUUACUGUCAGGGUGAAGAAAGUCUGUUUCGGCAGAUUGAUCUAACCCGGAGGAAGUCACGGCUAACUUCGUGCCAGCAGCCGCGGUAAGACGAAGGUGGCAAGCGUUGUUGGGUAUUACUGGGCUUAAAGCGUGUGUAGGCGGAUAAAUAAGCGUUUUGUGAAAUCCCUCAGCUCAACUGAGGAAUUGCUUGACGAACUGUUUAUCUUGAGGCAAGUAGGGGUGCACGGAACUCUUGGUGGAGCGGUGGAAUGCGUAGAUAUCAAGAGGAACGCCAGUGGUGAAGACGGUGCACUGGGCUUGUUCUGACGCUGAGACACGAAAGCGUGGGGAGCAAACAGGAUUAGAUACCCCCGUAGUC
rnacentral:rRNA from 1 species